GUAAGGAAAGAGGGAUACAAAGGUAAGAUAGGCGGUGGACGAAGUAAUUAAGAAGACGAGAGGAGGAAGGGCGAGUGGUGUUCGUGUUGGAACGAUAGGGUGCGAGAACGACCCUAGGACCUAGCCCCUUCCAAUAUUCAUAUUAACAAGAAAAACUUCAUGAACCUUUUCUUUUUGCGAAAAAAACUUCAUUCCGCUACACCAUGUGCUCUUGAUCAAUUUUGGAUCCUCUAUAACUUGGGUGAGAAGAGGAAUGCUCCCUCAAAUGACAGCCGAGAAGAAUCAAUCUUUGUCUUAGCUUGACCAAUUUCUAACUAGAGAAGUUAAAUAAAUUCGUUGAUGAACUGAAACAGCCGGCGGCACGAGCUAUCUGAUCUUGACAAAAGAUGAUUGGAGAAAAUCCGAUCCAGACUACGAACCAUGAACACUAAAGACAAAAAAGAAAAGAAAAUGCUAGAGUUUUGGAAA
rnacentral:lncRNA from 1 species